rnacentral:rRNA from 1 species
UACGAAGGGGGCUAGCGUUGCUCGGAAUCACUGGGCGUAAAGCGCACGUAGGCGGAUUGUUAAGUCAGGGGUGAAAUCCUGGAGCUCAACUCCAGAACUGCCUUUGAUACUGGGAGCUCGAGUCCGGGAGAGGUGAGUGGAACUCCGAGUGUAGAGGUGAAAUUCGUAGAUAUUCGCAAGAACACCAGUGGCGAAGGCGGCUCACUGGCCCGGUACUGACGCUGAGGUGCGAAAGCGUGGGGGAGCAAACGGG